rnacentral:lncRNA from 1 species
GGGAGCUUUAUAUAAAAGCAGGUAGAGGUAGAGGCCACCUCAUGAGACAUCAGGCUUAGGAUGGGUUUGUGUGUGUUGUGGAUUUCUGUGCUGGUGUGGGCAGCAGUGAGGGUGGAGAUGGCCAGUCUGGAGAGCAAUAGCCCCGUACCUCAGCAGGGUCUCCAAGCCCUACACUGUCCACCCUGUGAACGCAUCCACUGCUCACCUCGCAGAUCACUGAAGCUCCAGUGUAAAGGAGGUGUCAACACAGGUGUGUGCGGCUGCUGCCCAACGUGCGCCAAGCAAGCUGGGGAGAGCUGUGGAGGAACGUGGGAUUACCUGGGCAAAUGUGAUGAAGGACUGGUGUGUGUGUACCCCCAGGACCCCAGCGACAGCAAGCCAGAGGAACAGCGCAAAGGCAUCUGCAAGUCAGUACUCGAAGUCCUGGAAAAAGAUACUUGCCGUCCAGACUGUACAUGGGAAUUCUGUCAGGCGCACCCCAAUGAAAUAUGCUCAGCCAGGUCAGUGGCUAUGGAGAAGCGUGAGUGUGGAGGGUUCUGUCAGCACACCACCUGUUCCAGCUGUUUGGUUCUGAAGCGUCCGGCGUGUCCUCAGGCCUGCUCUCCUACAGACCACGUCUGCCUCCAUCGCUUUGGGAGGUGUGUGCACGGCCACCUGGAGCCACAGAAAGCUACAGUCUGCCACCAAAACCUACAGAGCAACAGUGAGGGGUACUUUGUGUGUUUGGCCCCUGUCUGUCCAAAUGCAGCAAACUGAUGUGUCUGUGAAAGAACCACUCCAAAGGAUCCAAGCACAACAUGUAGCACAUUAAAGCAGCUAUUUUUGAUAUAUGAAUGUUUGUACCAUAUUGAUACUUGUAAUAUUAAAAUGGUAAUAUGUACAGUUGAAAUAAAAUUUUGAAUUAAAUGGAUUUGUACA